rnacentral:rRNA from 1 species
GACGAACGCUGGCGGCGUGCCUAAUACAUGCAAGUCGAACGCUUCUUUCCUCCCGAGUGCUUGCACUCAAUUGGAAAGAGGAGUGGCGGACGGGUGAGUAACACGUGGGUAACCUACCCAUCAGAGGGGGAUAACACUUGGAAACAGGUGCUAAUACCGCAUAACAGUUUAUGCCGCAUGGCAUAAGAGUGAAAGGCGCUUUCGGGUGUCGUUGAUGGAUGGACCCGCGGUGCAUUAGCUAGUUGGUGAGGUAACGGCUCACCAAGGCCACGAUGCAUAGCCGACCUGAGAGGGUGAUAGGCCACACUGGGACUGAGACACGGCCCAGACUCCUACGGGAGGCAGCAGUAGGGAAUCUUCGGCAAUGGACGAAAGUCUGACCGAGCAACGCCGCGUGAGUGAAGAAGGUUUUCGGAUCGUAAAACUCUGUUGUUAGAGAAGAACAAGGACGUUAGUAACUGAACGUCCCCUGACGGUAUCUAACCAGAAAGCCACGGCUAACUACGUG